rnacentral:rRNA from 1 species
CAGGCUUAACACAUGCAAGUCGAGGGGCAUCAGGAAGAAAGCUUGCUUUCUUUGCUGGCGACCGGCGCACGGGUGAGUAACACGUAUCCAACCUGCCCUUUACUCGGGGAUAGCCUUUCGAAAGAAAGAUUAAUACCCGAUGGCAUAAUGAUUCCGCAUGGUUUCAUUAUUAAAGGAUUCCGGUAAAGGAUGGGGAUGCGUUCCAUUAGGUUGUUGGUGAGGUAACGGCUCACCAAGCCUUCGAUGGAUAGGGGUUCUGAGAGGAAGGUCCCCCACAUUGGAACUGAGACACGGUCCAAACUCCUACGGGAGGCAGCAGUGAGGAAUAUUGGUCAAUGGGCGCUAGCCUGAACCAGCCAAGUAGCGUGAAGGAUGAAGGCUCUAUGGGUCGUAAACUUCUUUUAUAUAAGAAUAAAGUGCAGUAUGUAUACUGUUUUGUAUGUAUUAUAUGAAUAAGGAUCGGCUAACUCCGUGCCAGCAGCCGCGGUAAUACGGAGGAUCCGAGCGUUAUCCGGAUUUAUUGGGUUUAAAGGGAGCGUAGGUGGACUGGUAAGUCAGUUGUGAAAGUUUGCGGCUCAACCGUAAAAUUGCAGUUGAUACUGUCAGUCUUGAGUACAGUAGAGGUGGGCGGAAUUCGUGGUGUAGCGGUGAAAUGCUUAGAUAUCACGAAGAACUCCGAUUGCGAAGGCAGCUCACUGGACUGCAACUGACACUGAUGCUCGAAAGUGUGGGUAUCAAACAGGAUUAGAUACCCUGGUAGUCCACACAGUAAACGAUGAAUACCCGCUGUUUGCGAUAUACAGUAAGCGGCCAAGCGAAAGCAUUAAGUAUUCCACCUGGGGAGUACGCCGGCAACGGUGAAACUCAAAGGAAUUGACGGGGGCCCGCACAAGCGGAGGAACAUGUGGUUUAAUUCGAUGAUACGCGAGGAACCUUACCCGGGCUUAAAUUGCAGUGGAAUGAUGUGGAAACAUGUCAGUGAGCAAUCACCGCUGUGAAGGUGCUGCAUGGUUGUCGUCAGCUCGUGCCGUGAGGUGUCGGCUUAAGUGCCAUAACGAGCGCAACCCUUAUCUUUAGUUACUAACAGGUUAUGCUGAGGACUCUAGAGAGACUGCCGUCGUAAGAUGUGAGGAAGGUGGGGAUGACGUCAAAUCAGCACGGCCCUUACGUCCGGGGCUACACACGUGUUACAAUGGGGGGUACAGAAGGCAGCUAGCGGGUGACCGUAUGCUAAUCCCAAAAGCCUCUCUCAGUUCGGAUCGAAGUCUGCAACCCGACUUCGUGAAGCUGGAUUCGCUAGUAAUCGCGCAUCAGCCACGGCGCGGUGAAUACGUUCCCGGGCCUUGUACACACCGCCCGUCAAGCCAUGGGAGCCGGGGGUACCUGAAGUACGUAACCGCAAGGAUCGUCCUAGGGUAAAACUGGUGACUGGGGC